AGAGUUUGAUCCUGGCUCAGAGUGAUCGCUGGCGGCGUGCUUAACACAUGCAAGUCGAGCGAAUUUCAGCAGCGUAUCGCUGAAGUUAGCGGCAGACGGGUGAGUAAUACUUAGGCAAUCUACCUUCAAGUGGGAAACAACCGGCCGAAAGGCUGGCUAAUGUCCCAUAAGACCACGGGAAUGCAUAUUCCAGAGGUCAAAGCUCCGCAAGGGGCGCUAGAAGAGGAGCCUGAGUCCUAUCAGCUAGUUGGUGAGGUAACGGCUCACCAAGGCUUUGACGGGUAGCCGGCCUGAAAGGGUGAUCGGCCACACUGGCACUGAGACACGGGCCAGACUCCUACGGGAGGCAGCAGUGGGGAAUUUUGGACAAUGGGGGCAACCCUGAUCCAGCGACGCCGCGUGGAGGACGAAGGUCUUCGGAUUGUAAACUCCUUUUAGGGGGGAUGAAUGAACGGGUGAAUAGCCCGGAAUGACAGUACUCCCUGAAUAAGCCACGGCUAACUUCGUGCCAGCAGCCGCGGUAAUACGAAGGUGGCAAGCGAUACUCGGAAUCACUAGGCGUAAAGCGCAGGUAGGCGGUUGGGUAAGUCUUUUGUGAAAGCUCCUGGCUUAACUGGGAGAGGUCAAAGGAAACUACCCGGCUAGAGUGUGGCAGAGGAAGCUGGAAUUCCCGGUGUAGCGGUGAAAUGCGUAGAUAUCGGGAGGAAUACCUAUGGCGAAAGCAGGCUUCUGGGCCAUCACUGACGCUGAUCUGCGAAAGCUAGGGGAGCAAACAGGAUUAGAUACCCUAGUAGUCC
rnacentral:rRNA from 1 species